ACAUCGGUAGCACAGUGGUUAGUGCAGUCUGCCGGAACCAGAAAGACGCGGGUUCAAUUCCCGUCCGAUGUC
rnacentral:tRNA from 1 species